GCAGGGGUGUUUGGUUUUGUGCGAUUAGAAAGUUGGCAACCCUAGUUCUGCGUUGUGGUAAAACUAGAAUUUACUCCAUUAUGGGGCUUUCCUAAUGCCCCGUCAUCACUCCUGACUUCUUGUGUACAAUAAACAACUUAACAUGAUGCUAUUGAAUAGGAGAAAGGGGAGAUGCCAUUCGCUGAGGUUCCCGCAUUCUCAUCCCAACCCCAGCUUGUACUCCAAGUGUGAACUUGACUAAGGCACUAAGGCUGAACUUGUGCUGAAGGUCUCUGCUUAGAAUCUGGAAGUCAGGGUCCUGAAAGUGCUCCCGGUUAAGGACCCUAACAUGUUCUUAUCGAAUCCUUGCUGCAGAAUGAGACGUGGAAGUUAUUGGAAGGCAGUUAAUGCAGAUAGCAGGACCUCAACCCGCCUUGCUGAGGAAAUAUCGUUGCCUAUACUGGAAAGUCAGUAAGGAUCAGCUAGACAUGCAGCAGAAGACUUCCCCUGUGUCAUCGUCAGGUGACCUUUGGGUGGGAUGCUGUAACACACAACACUUCUCUGCGCUGUGUACCCAUGGGACCCCAGUAACAAGCAAGCGCUGAGAGAAUGAGGAAUCAGUCAAUGCUACAUUCAGCUAACGCAGCAACUCAUGGUGUCAGACUCCAUUAGGUGGUCGAGGGACAGCUGCAUAGAACACAUCCCCGGACAUCGGCAAUACCAGGAGGGAUGAGCUGGAGUGCCGAUGAGAAGCGCAGUCAGGAAAGUAACAAAUACUUUCUUCAUGGAUUGUAUUUUCUAAAAGGACAACCAACCUCAUUCUCAAUUACCGAGGGACAAUCUCCACUCGUUGAUAUACUUUGCUUCCCACAACCAGCUCUCUGUACAACUUUUCAUGAGUGAUGUACCCGAGUGUUUGGAUUCUAAUAUCUAAACUGUAUUGUUAAAUCUAUUCACCGAAAUUUGGGUUAUUGCUGAUAAUGUACUCUGU